AGGAGCCCAGUGAGAACAGAGAGAGGAUAGGAUGGUGCUGGCUGCAGUGGCUGGUAGCUCCUGAUUCUCAUCGCCAACCUGGCUGAAAGCAUCCAGUGACAUGCACGCCACAGCCUGGGCUUCCUCGAGAUCACCUUCAUCUUGCUUGGCCUCCAUCUCCUCCACAGUCUCAGCAGGCAUAGAUAAAAGGGUAGACAAGGUUUUGACACCCCACAAUACAUGAAGCCUCUAUUGCAG
rnacentral:lncRNA from 1 species